rnacentral:tRNA from 1 species
GAGAGUAUAGCUCAGUUGGUAGAGCACAUGCUUAAUAUACACAAGGUCCUGAGUUCAAUCCCCAGUACCUCCU